GUGGACGAACCUCUGGUGUUCGGGUUGUGUCGCCAGACGCAUUGCCCGGUAGCUAAGUUCGGAAUCGAUAACCGCUGAAAGCAUCUAAGCGGGAAGCGAGCCCUGAGAUGAGUCUUCCCUGAUACUUUAAGUAUCCUAAAGGGUUGUCGGAGACUACGACGUUGAUAGGUCAGGUGUGUAAGUGCUGUGAGGCAUUGAGCUAACUGAUACUAAUUGCCCGUGAGGCUUAACCAU
rnacentral:rRNA from 1 species